rnacentral:rRNA from 1 species
AUUGAACGCUGGCGGCAUGCCUUACACAUGCAAGUCGAACGGUAACAGAUCUUCGGAUGCUGACGAGUGGCGAACGGGUGAGUAAUACAUCGGAACGUGCCUAGUAGUGGGGGAUAACUACUCGAAAGAGUGGCUAAUACCGCAUGAGAUCUACGGAUGAAAGCAGGGGAUCGCAAGACCUUGUGCUACUAGAGCGGCCGAUGGCAGAUUAGGUAGUUGGUGGGAUAAAAGCUUACCAAGCCGACGAUCUGUAGCUGGUCUGAGAGGACGACCGGCCACACUGGGAAUGAGACACGGCCCAGACUCCUACGGGAGGCAUCAGUGGGGAAUCUUGGACAAUGGGCGAAAGCCUGAUCCAGCAAUGCCGCGUGCAGGAUGAAGGCCUUCGGGUUGUAAACUGCUUUUGUACGGAACGAAAAGCCCUGGGUUAAUACCCUGGGGUCAUGACGGUACCGUAAGAAUAAGCACCGGCUAACUACGUGCCAGCCGCCGCAGUAAUAC